UCCCUGGCCACAGACUUCUGGAGGCAUCAGGAGGUGUACUGCUGUACCAUAUACUUGUGAGGUUUGGGGUCCUUUUCUGAGGCCCCAGUUUCUCUAAGACAGCAGAUGGCCUCCUGAGGCUCAUUGGGUGCAAGGAAGCACAGAAGGCGAAACCCCAGCUGGAAGCCCUGGCCCUCAGAGACCUCUCUGAGCACAGGUGGAAUCUGGUGUGUGAGGACAACUGGAAGGUGCCCCUCACCACCUCCCUGUUCUUCGUAGGCGUGCUCCUCGGCUCCUUCGUGUCCGGGCAGCUGUCAGACAGGUUUGGCAGGAAGAACGUUCUCUUCGCAACCAUGGCUGUACAGACUGGCUUCAGCUUCCUGCAGAUUUUCUCCAUCAGCUGGGAGAUGUUCACUGUGUUAUUUGUCAUCGUGGGCAUGGGCCAGAUCUCCAACUAUGUGGUAGCCUUCAUACUAGGCCACUUCUCUAUAGCAUGGGCAGAUCCCCAACAAAAGGCAGAGCCAUUGCCAUUGGUCACAUCUCCGCCCCAGGUGUAGUGAACCAAGGGCAGACUCUGUGGAAAGG
rnacentral:sRNA from 1 species